GACGGAGGAUGGCAAGUGUUAUCCGGAAUCACUGGGCGGUAAAGCGUCUGUAGGUGGUCAAAUAAGUCAACUGUUAAAUCUUGAGGCUCAACCUCGAAAUCGCAGUCGAAACUAUUAGACUAGAGUAUAGUAGGGGUAAAGGGAAGUUUCCAGUGGAGUACGGUGGAAAUGACGUAGAGAGUUGAAAGAACACCGAUGGCGAAGGCACUUUACUGGCUAUUACUAACACUCAGAGAC
rnacentral:rRNA from 1 species